rnacentral:misc_RNA from 1 species
GAUGAAGAACGCAGCGAAAUGCGAUAAGUAAUGUGAAUUGCAGAAUUCAGUGAAUCAUCGAAUCUUUGAACGCACAUUGCGCCCGCCAGUAUUCUGGCGGGCAUGCCUGUCUGAGCGUCAUUUCAACCCUCAAGCAACUUCUGCUUGGUGUUGGGGAUCGGCCGUCAAACGCCGCCCCCGAAAUCUAUUGGCGAUCUCGCUGUAGCUUCCUAUGCGUAGUAGUAACAUCUCGCAUCUGGAGAGCGGCGCGGUCAUGCCGUAGAACACCCAACUUCUCAGGUUGACCUCAGAUCAGGUAGGAAUACCCGCUGAACUUAAGCAUAUCAAUAAGCGGAGGA